UUGAAAGGGAAACGAUUGAAGUCAGUCAUGCUAGCGAGGAAUCAACUUGGUGGUACGUGAGUUUGGUUUGUAAGUAGGGUAACCGCUUGCUUAUCUUUUUCUUGCUUCUUCCUUGUGUACUUUCUUGUUCGGCAGGUUAGCAUCAAUUUUGGUUGUCAUCAAAUAAUUGGGGAAAUGUAUCUUCUCUUCGGGGGAGUGUUAUAGACCCUGGUAGAUGUGGCGACCGGGAUUGAGGAUUGCAGCGGAUGCCUCUCGGCUAGUCAUCUAUCUUUUGACGGUCACCUCGCUUUCGAUAGCUUGCUGACGAUUGUGGGACUAGACAGUCUAAAAUUUAGAAUGAACAUAAAUUCGUUAAGGAUGUUGACGUA
rnacentral:rRNA from 1 species